rnacentral:rRNA from 1 species
AGUGAACGCUGGCGGUAGGCCUAACACACGCAAGUCGAACGGCAGCACAGGAGAGCUUGCUCUCUGGGUGGCGAGUGGCGGACGGGUGAGGAAUACAUCGGAAUCUACUUUUUCGUGGGGGAUAACGUAGGGAAACUUACGCUAAUACCGCAUACGACCUACGGGUGAAAGCAGGGGAUCUUCGGACCUUGCGCGAUUGAAUGAGCCGAUGUCGGAUUAGCUAGUUGGCGGGGUAAAGGCCCACCAAGGCGACGAUCCGUAGCCGGUCUGAGAGGAUGAUCAGCCACACUGGAACUGAGACACGGUCCAGACUCCUACGGGAGGCAGCAGUGGGGAAUAUUGGACAAUGGGCGCAAGCCUGAUCCAGCCAUACCGCGUGGGUGAAGAAGGCCUUCGGGUUGUAAAGCCCUUUUGUUGGGAAAGAAAUCCAGCUGGUUAAUACCCGGUUGGGAUGACGGUACCCAAAGAAUAAGCACCGGCUAACUUCGUGCCAGCCGCCGCGGUAA